rnacentral:lncRNA from 1 species
AAAAUUAUACCAAAAAAAGAUCAAAGGAAAAAUUCACAAGAUAGCGAUAACUAUUUAUAUCAUAACAAUAUUUCGUCAGUCUUAUUAAAGAAUAUAGAGAUUAAAGUGCUAAAUGUAAUGCUGACAUGAAUUGGUACAUAUAUGUUUCGGAAUAUAAUGGUAGUUUAAACAUGGUUUUAUGGGUAAAUAUCUCAGUUAGAUGACAGUUUGUAGUUCCGUUAUAUUGACAAAUUAAGGGAGCAUAUGCUUAAAUCUUUUGCCUUUAUCUUCACACUGGUAUAUUAAUAUACAAUUAAGAAUAGAAAUGGGGAAUGUGUCAAAGGGACAACAACCCGACCAAAGAGCAGAAAACAGCCAAAAGCCAUAGAUGGUCUGGCUGUCGUUAUCACAUGCGGACAUACCAUGCAAAUAUAUUAGAGACUACAUGCAUGAUACUAAAAAGCACAGUCUUCUCAAAAGAACUCCCGUCACCAUGAUAGAUACCAAUGUAUUGUAUAAAUAAAUAUGAAUAGGUGUGUCCUAACACCCAAAGUUCAUCUCAUUACACAAUUUUCCAUUUCUUGUAAACACAAACAAUAGUCGCAUGUUUUACGGAAUAUAAAUUCAUGACUUGUAUACACUGUAGCUGAUUAUUGUUCAUACUUUAAUCAAAUUCAAACUGCCCUGGUCAUUGCAUAUAUCUCAUCAUGUGAGGUUCAACCUCGGUUCCAUACACGGCGAUUGUUACCAUUUAAAUUGCUGUGUUGUCUGUUUAUGUUUCCCUGGACAUUUGAGGUAAUAAGAUACAGUCGUGUUCUAUUCCCAGGGAACUGAAAGAUGAUAUGUUUUUUAAACAACAGCCGUGCUUAUUGUCCUAUGUUGGUCAAAGGAAAUAUAACAUGUACUUUAUAUAUAUCGUGUGUCUAAAUUACUUUUUUGGAUUUAUCAAUUCAUUAAAAACACAAGAACUAUCAAUAAACUCAUCAUAGAUAUCUUAUUUGGCUUGUUUUGACUUUUAUAUUCGAGUUUCGCUUAUCAGUGAUUGUCUUUUAUAGAAUUCAAGAAACGCGCAUCUGGGUUAGAC